GUUGAGUACGAGUAUAAAGUUUGAGAUGUAAGAGCACUGAGAAAAUAAUUCGAGAAAUAGGAAUGCCAAACAGGAAAACGUUUAAAGAAAAAAAAAAACAAUCUUAGUCCAAACAGUGCCUUGGUGGGACGCAACUCAAAUCUUAAGACUGAAAGCAAGAGGAAAGGAGGAAGGGAGUUGUUUCCAGAUAAAUAUCUGGUAAUGGCUCAUAAUGACGCGUAAUGACAGACGACAGCUUCCUACUAAACACAAGGAAAGAGGGGAACAAACAUGCUGUGACGGAAGUCUUGAUGAUUGCGUCCACAAUUUUGCAAGGCCUCGAGUAGGUGAUGUAUUUCAGAAAAGCACUUUGCCGCUGGCGCCCAUUUCUACACCCACUGUCCAGAGAGAAGUCAGGAGUGCCUUUAGUGUCUAAUCAUAGAGAGUUUCAUAUUUAAAAGAUACUUACUUAAGACUUUAUUUAAGGACCUUCACUUUUAUAAAGUUUCCUCUGACGUCUAAGCUCCUGGAUCAAGACUGAGAAAGAAGAGAGAAGAAGCUACAUGUAAAAAGCCCUCUUGGCCAUCUACCAAGCAAUAAAAACAGACCAUGGCGUCCAAAAUGGAAACCCUUGAUCCUUCAACUUUAUCAGAUGUCACCUCUACUGUGAGAUACGGGUCUAAAUCGGAAACCGUGACCUUACCAGGAGGAGUUGUGUCAGUGGCGGGCGUCACUGUGGUUACUGGAGGCGUUGAACUGUCUUGUGGAUCCUGCAUGCUAGCUUUUGGAUUUUGGGGAACUCUCAUCGGCUUCAGCUGCCUGGCUGUGGGGCUGUGGGACCAGCUGAACUUCUAUAAAGGGGGAACCUCUCAUUUGCUGGGACUGGGGCUUGUGAUACUGGCCCUCAGUUUUGUGGUGGUGGUGGGUGUGGCAACAAUUCACCUCCUAACCAAGAGAAAAAGACAGAUGACAAAAGAAGUGAGACAGCAUGGGAAAGAAGUUCUUGUAGAGAGUGGUAGGGUAAUAAAAAAAGUCACAGUAUAAACAGUGUUUAAUGACAGACAUUAAGGAAAAAAGAUCUCUGAUCUUUUAGAAAUAAAUUAUCACCAUUGCAACCCGACUCUGUACCACUACUUAUUAGGUAUCUUUAAUCUAAAUAAUGUAGAAAUGCAGUUAUUCAGUUUUGAGGCAUUUUAUUUCAACUUACAGUCAUUAAAAAUUUACACACUAAUAUUGUAGUUUUGUAUUCUAAUUGAGCCGUGUAGGCUGGCAAAGUUCUUCUUAAUGAUCAACAUAUGUUAUUGCUUAUGCUUAUGACUUGUUGCUUUGUAAAUCUAAAAAAAAAGCAGUGAAAAUGAGUUUCGUCUUGAGCAGUGGUUCAUGUCACAUUAAUAAUAAUAAGCCAAUAAUGUAACACUAUUCGACUACAUUAUGCACAUUGUGCUACUUACACUUAAUUAAAAUUAUGAAUAUAAAUGUUUAAUCCCACUAAUUAUUUUCCUUGUAAUGGGUUUUUUUUUUCACUCCUGCAGCUUGUAAUGUGUGCACAGAGCAUAAACAGAAUGCAAUAAUUGGACUGGGUAAAAUGUGAGAGAAUCAAAAAAAGGAAGAGAGAGACAGGGUUUUAUUACAACAGAAUACAGGACAUUGCUCAUUUUAACCUAGUGGGUCCCAUGCAUGCAGAUACCUUUUAGGUUUUGUAUUUGCACCCAAACUUGAUAUUAAAAACUCAGCAGGACGACAUCUUUAUAGAAACACUGGUUAGUGAGGAUAACCCAAAGCCUUUCACAAUGUUGCUGGGAUAACAGAGACCUUCCUGUCUACGUAUCUUUUAGGAUCAGAUAUGGGGAUUAUCCUGAGCUACAUUAUCCUUAGUAUUUUGCCUUUUAUGAUUUUUUUUUUAACUUUAAGCACCACAAAUGUCAUUUGAGGGUUUAGUUAAAGUUACUAGUAACCAGACAAAUUUACAAAUCACAGUGAGCAUGAUUCAUAAAAGUGCAGACCAACAGAAGUAAGGUAGACUAUAAAAAGCACUGGAGUUACUAAUACACAGAAAAAAAGUUGUUAAUUCUUUUUUGGGAGUCUCAGGAGUGUGUGUGACAAUAAAAUACUAAAUAUAAUUUUAAAUUGUAUAUUAUUUUUCUAAGAUUUGUGUUCACUGGGGUCCUUCAUUUUGUAUUUUUGGUCAGAUCAUAUUUGAUUUUAUUGAGCUUUCCUGCUUGAUUUGUAAUUUUUUGUUGUAGGUUAUGUUUAAUGUUUUGGCUACUGUAACGAGAAUAAAUAAAGUACAAAAUAAAUGUUAUAUUUCAGACCUGUGCUUCUCAUGUGAUGUGCCCAUAUGUCUUUGCUGCUCACUGACCUGAAAAGGAAAAAAAAAGUGAAAGAGAAACUAUAUCACCAGUAAGACCCACAGAAGUUAGCUAGACAGGGACAGUUAAGCUAACUUAAUAAAGUGCAAAACAAAGUUUAGAAAAUUAAUUUAAUAUCACAAAUAACAUUAAAAAAUAAACAAAAGCAAUGAAAUACUUGAUAUCCAACAAUGCAAUUCAGGUUGUUUUUAUCAAUAUUUUAUUUAGUCAAAGAAAAUGACCAUAUCGUGGGAAUUUCAUGGAACACAAAGUCACAUAGUCAUUUUGUUUUAGUCAACUCUAAAAUUUGCAAUUUGAUGAAUUAUUCAACUAAUUAUUUUAAUCCUGUAGAGCUAGCUAGGAGGCUAGCACAAUUAAAAAUGUUUGUAUAGUAACACUCUGACUAUCUUCUGACAAAAAGAGGGACAGGACUUCGGAUAUUAGGUUUCUGUGACUGUCUAACGUGAGAGUUUAAAUGUAUUGUUAAUUUUUUGCUGAAUUUACCUUGUAAAAUAUCAUUUACCUGUUAAGGUUCAUGGAGCAGGCAUUUUAAAGUGAAGGUAGCUGCAUGAUGGACAUCCUGCAGAUAGGAUUCAUGAUCAUCCAGGUAUAGUAUAAUACUUUACAAAAAUAAAAAAAGGAAGGACAAAACUCCGAAAGGCUUUGUUUUUGUUUCCGUAGCUUAUUUUCAUUGACACUGAGGAAGUGUAAUGUUCUUUUAUGCUUGUAAAAGCAAAUGUAAAAAAGUUGUGAGAAAACAAAAACAGCAAAACAAACAAACAUAACAAAGCUCUAAC
ensembl:lncRNA